GAGUUUGAUCAUGGCUCAGAUUGAACGCUGGCGGCAUGCCUUACACAUGCAAGUCGAACGGCAGCACGGGGGCAACCCUGGUGGCGAGUGGCGAACGGGUGAGUAAUGCAUCGGAACGUGCCCUGAAGUGGGGGAUAACGUAGCGAAAGUUACGCUAAUACCGCAUAUUCUGUGAGCAGAAAAGCAGGGGAUCUUAGGACCUUGUGCUUUGGGAGCGGCCGAUGUCGGAUUAGCUAGUUGGUGAGGUAAAGGCUCACCAAGGCGACGAUCCGUAGCGGGUCUGAGAGGAUGAUCCGCCACACUGGAACUGAGACACGGUCCAGACUCCUACGGGAGGCAGCAGUGGGGAAUUUUGGACAAUGGGCGCAAGCCUGAUCCAGCCAUGCCGCGUGAGUGAAGAAGGCCUUCGGGUUGUAAAGCUCUUUCGGCGGGGAAGAAAUAGCGUGGGUUAAUACCCUGCGUUGAUGACGGUACCCGCAUAAGAAGCACCGGCUAACUACGUGCCAGCAGCCGCGGUAAUACGUAGGGUGCGAGCGUUAAUCGGAAUUACUGGGCGUAAAGCGUGCGCAGGCGGUUGUAUAAGUCAGAUGUGGAAUCCCCGGGCUCAACCUGGGAACUGCAUUUGAGACUGUACGGCUAGAGUUUGGCAGAGG
rnacentral:rRNA from 1 species